rnacentral:rRNA from 1 species
CAGCAGCCGCGGUAAUACGUAGGGUGCAAGCGUUAAUCGGAAUUACUGGGCGUAAAGCGUGCGCAGGCGGUUAUAUAAGACAGAUGUGAAAUCCCCGGGCUCAACCUGGGAACUGCAUUUGUGACUGUAUAGCUAGAGUACGGCAGAGGGGGAUGGAAUUCCGCGUGUAGCAGUGAAAUGCGUAGAUAUGCGGAGGAACACCGAUGGCGAAGGCAAUCCCCUGGGCCUGUACUGACACUCAUGCACGAAAGCGUGGGGAGCAAACAGGAUUAGAUACCCCCGUAGUCCCUGUCUCUUAUAC